rnacentral:rRNA from 1 species
UGGCGAACGAAGACCUAGAGGAGCUUGCUUUAAUAUGGUUUUAGUGGCGGACGGGUGAGUAACGCGUGAGGACUUGUCGAGUACAGGGGGACAACAGGUGGAAACGUCUGCUAAUACCCCAUAAGCCUUCGGGUAAAAGGAGCGAUCCGGUACACGAGAGACUUGUGUCCUAUCAGCUAGUAGGUGGGGUAACGAGCCCACCCAGGCCAAGACGGAUAGCCGGACUGAGAGGUCGAUCGGCCACACUGGAACUGAGACACGGUCCAGACUCCUACGGGAGGCAGCAGUGGGGAAUAUUGGGCAAUGGGGGCAACCCUGACCCAGCGACGCCGCGUGAGKGAAGAMAKCCYUCGGGWUGUAAAMCUCUGUUGCWGUGGGAAGAUAGGACGUGACGGUACCACURCGAGGAAGCCCCGGCAAACUACGUGCCAGCAGCCGCGGUAAUACGUAGGGAGCGAGCGUUAUCCGGAAUUACUGGGCGUAAAGCGGCGCGUAGGCUGGUGUUCAAGUCGUUCGUUAAAUAUUGAGGCUUAACCUCAAGGAGCUGGCCGAAACUGAGACACUGGAGACACAGAGAGGCAAACAGAAUUCCUGGUGUAGCGGUGAAAUGCGUAGAUAUCAGGAAGAAUACCGGUGGCGAAGGCGGUUUGCUUGGAUGUGAUCUGACGCUUGAAGCGCGAAAGCCGGGGGAGCGAACGGGAUUAGAUACCCCGGUAGUCCCGGCAGUAAACUGAUGUAUGCUGGGUGUGGCCGUAGCGAUACAGCCGUGCCGAAGUUAACGCGAUAAGCAUACCGCCUGGGGAGUACUGGUCGCAAGAUUGAAACUCAAAGGAAUUGACGGGGGCCCGCACAAGCGGUGGAGCACGUGGUUUAAUUCGAUGCAAACCGAAGAACCUUACCUGGACUUGACAUACACGUAGUAGCGAAUCGAAAGAGGAGCGAGGAUGUAGCAAUACAUUCAGCGUGAACAGGUGCUGCAUGGCUUGUCGUCAGCUCGUGUCGUGAGAUGUUGGGUUAAGUCCCGCAACGAGCGCAACCCCUUGUUGCCGGUUGCUAACGCGCAAAGGCGAGCACUCCGGCGAGACUGCCAUCGACAAGAUGGAGGAAGGUGGGGACGACGUCAAGUCAUCAUGGCCCUUAUGUCCAGGGCGACACACAUGCUACAAUGGCUGGUACAGAGAGAAGCGAAGCCGAGAGGCCGAGCAGAUCCCAUCAAAGCCAGUCCCAGUUCGGAUUGCAGUCUGCAACUCGACUGCAUGAAGUUGGAAUCGCUAGUAAUCGCGGAUCAGCCAAGCCGCGGUGAAUACGUUCCCGGGCCUUGUACACACCGCCCGUCACACCAUCCGAGUUGGGUGCUCUCGAAGUCGGAGGCUUAACCGCAAGGAAAAGAUCCGCCUAAAGAGUGUCCGGUG